rnacentral:rRNA from 1 species
AUGUAUCAAGUCCUGAAGAAUCAUCUUAGAUGUUUUACAGUUAGUGGGCGGACACAAGACCACCAGUACAACACUACCCAUUUUCCGAUCAAUUGCUUCGUCCAAGCACCAUCAUCUGCUCAUUAUGGAGAGUCGAAGAGCAUUGAAGCAACCAUUGAAGCAAAGCGGCAACAAGCUAACUCUUCGGCUGAUCUCCAGCAACAGAGGCGGCAAGGUGGUGUCAGAGAGGGUCAGGUCAAGCCUGGCGAACGUGUCCUUCGGGGUGUACGGCAUGUGUCGUUCCUGUGUGCUGGCACGCCAAAGAGUUCCCGCCCAUCUCACCGCUGGCGUCGUACAUAG